AUCCUGGCUCAGGAUGAACGCUAGCUACAGGCUUAACACAUGCAAGUCGAGGGGCAGCGAGAGGAAAGCUUGCUUUCCUUGUCGGCGACCGGCGCACGGGUGAGUAACGCGUAUCCAACCUUCCCCUUAGUAGGGCAUAGCCCGGCGAAAGUCGGAUUAAUACCCUAUGUUGUCAGUAGAGGACAUCUGAAGUUGACCAAAGAUUUAUCGCUAAGGGAUGGGGAUGCGUCUGAUUAGGUAGUAGGCGGGUAACGGCCCACCUAGCCGACGAUCAGUAGGGGUUCUGAGAGGAAGGUCCCCCACAUUGGAACUGAGACACGGUCCAAACUCCUACGGGAGGCAGCAGUGAGGAAUAUUGGUCAAUGGGCGAGAGCCUGAACCAGCCAAGUAGCGUGCAGGAUGACGGCCCUAUGGGUUGUAAACUGCUUUUAUCAGGGGAUAAAGUCACCCACGUGUGGGUGUUUGUAGGUACCUGAUGAAUAAGGACCGGCUAAUUCCGUGCC
rnacentral:rRNA from 1 species